rnacentral:rRNA from 1 species
GAUGAACGCUAGCGGCAGCCUUAACACAUGCAAGUCGAGGGGUAACGUGAGUGCUUGCACUUGACGACGACCGGCGCACGGGUGCGGAACGCGUAUGGAACCUACCUUUAUCAGGGGGAUAGCCCAUGGAAACGUGGAUUAAUACCCCAUAGUAUUAUUUCAUUGCAUGAUGAUUUAAUUAAAGAAUUUCGGAUAGAGAUGGCCAUGCGUAUCAUUAGCUAGUAGGCGAGGUAACGGCUCACCUAGGCGACGAUGAUUAGGGGUCCUGAGAGGGGGAUCCCCCACACUGGUACUGAGACACGGACCAGACUCCUACGGGAGGCAGCAGUGAGGAAUAUUGGGCAAUGGAGGCAACUCUGACCCAGCCAUGCCGCGUGCAGGAAGACGGCCCUAUGGGUUGUAAACUGCUUUUAUACAGGAAGAACACCACCCACGUGUGGGUGACUGACGGUACUGUAAGAAUAAGGACCGGCUAACUCCGUG